CAAAUUACAGAGCUGCGCCGCUUUCUUCUUCGUCUUUUCCUUAGUUCUGCGAUUUUUCUUCUUCCUCAAUUUUUUCAUGAAGCUUUUUCUCUUCGGUGAAACUGUUUCACUUCUCACCUAAUUUCUUUUCUUUUAAUUCUCUUCCUCAUCUUUCUUCCAUGGACACGAAGCAGGCAUAGCGUGGGGUCGGAGCUGAUGCUGCGCUGGGUCGACGGCUGAUUUUGGGAGGUUCUCGGAGGUUUUCACGGACCGGCGGUGGGGUCCGUCAUUACUACAGGAACUAGCGAGGGUCUUCGACCCCAACAACCCAAAAGCGAAAGGACUCGGCGUAUUUACACUGAUCGGAAGGAAGGGGUUCGACUGGCGACCUUGAAGGAGCUCGUCGUUCAUGUUUGAUAAUCUGAUAAUGGAUUUCGUGCCGGAUACCUCGGUAGACUGGAAGAGGCGCUACACCGCGAGUUCCCGACAACAGAUCUGAUAGAAAGAUGAAAAUGCAAGGUUCAUGCGUGCCCUACUUUCACGACUUCUAGGAGAUUUUUGAUAAGGACCGAGCCCACGGGGAAGGAGCGGAGAACAUAAUAGAUGCAAUAAACAACAUAUGUUCACAAGAGAACCUUGGGGGGUUAGGUUAAAGCAAUAACUUUAAUAUGGGCUUCAGAGAUUUCUUCAUGCCCAAUUAAGUGCCUAACCAACAAUCUCCUAUUGCCGACUCAGGCAAUGUAUUUAGUAAUGUGUGUGAAACAAUGACUCGGAAGACAUCGAACAAAGAAGUGCAAGGCCGUCGGAGAAAUGUAUGAUUGGUCUGGAUGGGAUGCUUGGGAAAAUACAUGAUGCUUCCAAUAAUCAUCUUCCGUGCUUGGCUUCGCUUAUCUGAUAGUUGUUUGACCUCACUAAAGCUCGUAAAGAAGUGUUUGAUCUUGUCGAAGUUUUGUCGGGCCUAUCAAUUUGGCAACAAUUUGUUGUGUGUAGAUUUAUACUACAUAAGUUGGAACAUCUCGACUUCUUCAUGGGACUGCGCGAGGCAGUAAAGAAGGAGUAUGAGUUAAUGAAAUCAUAUUUUCGAUUGGCGA